rnacentral:rRNA from 1 species
GUGUCAGCAGCCGCGGUAAGACGAACCGUGCGAACGUUGUUCGGAAUCACUGGGCUUAAAGGGCGCGUAGGCGGCCUGCAUGGUCGGGGGUGAAAGCCCGCAGCUCAACUGCGGAAGUGCCUCCGAUACCGGCGGGCUCGAGCAAGGUAGGGGUGCGCGGAACUUCUGGUGGAGCGGUGAAAUGCGUUGAUAUCAGAAGGAACGCCGGCGGCGAAAGCGGCGCACUGGACCUUUUCUGACGCUGAGGCGCGAAAGCCAGGGGAGCAAACGGGAUUAGAUACCCGCGUAGUCC